rnacentral:rRNA from 1 species
UACGAAGGGGGCUAGCGUUGCUCGGAAUCACUGGGCGUAAAGCGCACGUAGGCGGAUUGUUAAGUCAGGGGUGAAAUCCUGGAGCUCAACUCCAGAACUGCCUUUGAUACUGGCGAUCUCGAGUCCGGGAGAGGUGAGUGGAACUGCGAGUGUAGAGGUGAAAUUCGUAGAUAUUCGCAAGAACACCAGUGGCGAAGGCGGCUCACUGGCCCGGACUGACGCUGAGGUGCGAAAGCGUGGGGAGCAAAGC